rnacentral:lncRNA from 10 species
CACAGCCUCUGGAGUCAGAACUGCCUGGCUUUGAAUCCUACCUCCAAGUACCAGGUAUAGACCAGGGGCAAAUCAUUAGGUUCUCUGUCUCUCUUUCAUUUGCAAAUUGGGAUAAUGUCAUUCAGUUGAGAGGAUUUUAAUGAGAUGAUUCAUAGUACCAGAGAGUAAAAAUUAUCACUGCCAGCCACAAAUGUUAAAUCGAAAAUAUAAAUUUUUAGAUAGGA